GCCCACAGAACCGCUAGUAAAAAUUUUUUGAAUCCCACCACUGGUCAGGAUGUUUUGUUUUGUUUUUAAUUUUAGCUUGAAAAAAGGUUAGUUGUCAAGGUCUUAUUUUCAUUAUCAACAUCGCCCAAAAAAUCAGUGGAAAAGAAAAAAAAAAGUACCAUUAAAACUCAUUUUGUUGUUAUCGGUUUAUCCACAAGUGCUCCAGACAGUUUCUCCUUGGCAGGAGACUACGAGAGAGCAAUUUCUGACAUGUUUGGAGUUCUGUAUAUAAGGUAAUGACCAAACUGUACUCAAACUGUAGUGGGUUAAUAUACUUUCUUUUCUAAUUAUUUUAAAAAAUUGCUUGUUAAUUGCUUUUUAGCUAUUAGGAAACAUUGGAUCAACAGAUUUUACAGUACUGGGUAAGUUUCUUUAUCCAGUUUCCUUUUAUCCUAAGUCAAAGAAGUUUUAAAUACAAGUUUAAAGAUUUAAAUAUAUAUGGAGGGAAACAGUAAAAUGGUUAUUUUAACUUUGAUUUUGGAAAGUUACAAAAGGAUUAAGGACCCAGAUGGAGUUAAAAUAAUAUUUUGGAAUUAAUUAUAAUACUCCUUUCCAUGGGGAAAUGCUUUUGUUUUGAAUUCUGCUAAAAAGACACAAAACACGAUAGGAUGAGACUUUGAAGAUUGGACAUAAAGACAAUCAGUUUACAAUUAAAGGAGUUAAAGGGAAGUUAAAUUUGACCCAGUAAGAAUGGAGCAAGACAUUUUAACAUGUACAUAUUUUUAAACAAUUGGCAGAAGUUAAUAUCAAGAGUGGCUGCGUCUAGAAGGCAGUUUAAAAGAUGUUACAGAAGAGGAACAAAUUUUACUGGACAAGACUGCCAGCCAGGUAAAGAGACAGGAACCACGUCUAGAUGAACAAAUUCUAACUUAUUAUAAGGCUACAUUAACAGAAUCUUGCAAGUCUGAAGGUACAAACUUCCUGCUGUUACUUUUAACUACUUAAUCCGUGGGGAAGGGUCCCUCCUAAAUCUCCUUCUUUGACUGUUAAGCCCCUGAUGGGUCUUGCCUCUUUCCUAAGCAGGAUUUCUUCCCACCAUUCUCCAAGGUCAACCACACAUUCCAUUACAAAGACUUAAAAAUUGCAGGCUACAAGAAUGAUAUGGGAAAGGAUGCUACACUGGACAUAGCAAUCAAAUUGGUUUAUGCCUUGGGAGAGCGAUGAGGCUCUGCCUCACUUGCCUCACCUGACUGCAGGUGACGGAUCGUAUCCAAAGAAAUUCCCGACUGCUCCGUCCUACCAGAUGUACAUCUAAUCUAUCAUAAAGACAUGCUAUGGAGACCAGGCGUAUCGAGAGGUAUCAAGUUGGGCAAAGCCAAGAUGCAAAAUAAAAAAAGUUCUGAAAACUGCAGAAGGCGGAGGCCUUGCCAAGGUUUGACUCAACUGAAGCAGCUUCAGAAAAGCACCUGACGAGACCAACAAAUAUGGACAAAAAUAGAGGGGGAGGGAGGGAUGUGUUUAGUCCUAUUUUUAAUACAAAUCAAUUUAAUUUGAACCUCCUGUUUCCACCAGGGCAAUAGUGUGUGUGUGUGUGUGUGUGUGUGUGUGUGUGUGUGUGUGUGUGUGUGUGUGUGUGUGUAAAAAUAAUGGAUUCAGAGAAAAGUUCAUAAAAAUGCUGCCAUCAUAAAAAAGGCGCAUAGCACAGCACACACUUUAUCUAUUUUUCCGUAGUUCCUGCAUUCACUGAAUGGAGAAAUGUAUACAGUAAUGGAGAAAUGCCUUUAGGAUCAGAUAACAAUCUCUCCAUAUGCUUAUCUUGUGAAUAAGCACAACUAUGGCAAGAGGAUUUUGAAAAAUAUAAAUAAGCUGAAACAGAUACCGUAGAUAAACUAACCACAGUAAAAGUAUCCGUCUAUUUUUAUUUACUCUGAUAUGCUAGCCGUCUGGAAGGAAAUGUGGUGCUAGUUAACGUAGAAAUCUAUGUUACAUAUAUUCAUCUCAAUAGCACUUGGCAUCUGAAAUUUACAGGAUAGGUUUCCUGCCAAACUGCAUAACAUCCACUAUAUAGCAAUUUGAGAUUACCUAAAUAAUCCAAUUUGUAGAAAAGUGGCUAAGGUUGAACAGCAUAAAUCCUAAAUUUGCCUCAAGAACGGAGUGUCACUAGGAGAGGAAUCUAUUCAUUUCUUUGUAAAGGUGAAACAGCGCAGAUAAGAACGGCAGGAGGGGUGUGAAACCUUGGUUAAGGACUAUAACUAACAACUCAACGCCUCAGGCUGGUCCAUAUCUGGAGAAAUAUAUCCUGAGGUAACAAGGUGUCCACAAAGGAGUUGUUUUGUCAGGUCUCUACCUCCUUGCCCUCUGCUUCAUGCAUUUCUGUUUGGACAUAACCAAGUGGUAAUUUUGACUUUUUAGUAUUUCUACCCGGAAGCAAAGAUCUUGUCAGGAGGUGUCUUCUAUCUUGCUGACGAGCUUUUCACAAGAAGGCCUGUCAACCCAUCUCCAACUGCUUUGUGUCAACCCUCAGGGCUCUGUUUACAUGGAAAGUGAAUUAAAAAUUGUGGUUUGUUUUCUCAUGAUCCUGAAAUGUAGGAAUCUUGUUCAAAUGCACACAUGUGCCUUAAAAUUAACAAUAAGAAUAUUUCAGUUCAUAACAGCUAAUGUGUACCAUCUAUACUAAUAUUUCACGAAAUGCUUUAUUUCUCCGAUGGCAUUUCUCAAGGGCCCUUUAGGAGGCCAAAAUUCAAAGUUCUUGUUGAAAAGUCUAUUCACACAUGUCCUACAAUACGGUUUAAGCUUCUCUGUAGCUUUUAACAAUUUGUCAUCUAGUUACCAUUAAUGGGAGAAGAGGAAAGCUGCCGAGAGUGUCCCACAUACAACCACAAGGAGAGAAUAAAUUAGCAUAGGAAGAAACUAACAACUUUUCACCUCAUCGUUAUAAAUGGUUACAUAUAUUCGUGCAAAAUUUUAAUUACUAUACAAUAUACAACUAUUAUACAAGCACACAAUUGCAAUGUAACCAGAAACAAUUUGAAACUAUUAUGUCUAAAAAUGCAACUAGGACUGUUUUAUAUUUUAUCACAGUUCUUCAAAAAGUGAAGAAUGCAACAAACAACUUAAAAACCCAUGAAACAGAAGACUCCUUCUGCUCCUUAUAGCAACUGUGCAAAACUUUUUCUGGGGCAAAAACCACACUUAGUUAUGUAGGCAGAUUAUACAUACACACACAUACACACACAAACAUGUUUAUAAUGAGAUAAAAUACAAAUAAAGAUGAAAGUCAAG